GAUUUCUAUAUGGAGAAACUUGUUUAAGACAAGAAAGGGUCUUCAAGGCAUUUGCAGACUAUGAAUGUUGUUUUUUUUAUUCAAAUGCAAAAAAAAUUGCUGAUGUAAA